GAGGGAAAGUUGCAAAGAACUUUGAAGAGAGAGUUCAAGAGGGCGUGAAACCGCUUAGAAGCAAACGGGUGGAGCUGACAUUAAUUCUGCUGGAUUCAAUCUGUCAGACGGUGGAUGGUAUGUUCUCGAUCGCAAGACGAGUUCGUAUUUUCUCCGCCUAUGAUGGGUGCACUUUCAGUGGACUUGCGUCACGACCGAUGAUUGUGUUGGCAAAGGCCGGUUGAUUGCCGACUACAGGCUUGCCUGUAGAGCCCCAUCUUCCGUGUCAGUCCGAAUUACGAUCAUCGGGAAUCUGCCGCGCUCGCUUGUCUCGAUAGGUAUUGUUUAUGGGUUGAUUGAAACUCUGCAUUAUGCUUGCAUGAUGUGGUUACCCUCGAUUCUUAUAGCAGUGCCGACUCGAGUUAGCGCAUAUGGUCAGUGGCGUCCGAGUCAGCCUCCCACCCGACCCGUCUUGAAACACGGACCAAGGAGUCUAACAUGUGCGCAAGUCAUGGGGUUGUAAAACCCAAAGGCGUAAUGAAAGUGAAGGUCAAUUCUGUUGGCCGAAGUGGGAUCCUCGGUUUCCGGGGCGCACCACUGUCCCAUCGCAUCUGCUCGUCAGGGCGGUGGAGAAAGAGCGCACACGUUGGGACCCGAAAGAUGGUGAACUAUGCCUGAGCAGGAUGAAGCCAGAGGAAACUCUGGUGGAGGUCCGUAGCGGUUCUGACGUGCAAAUCGAUCGUCAGACUUGGGUAUAGGGGCGAAAGACUAAUCGAACCAUCUAGUAGCUG
rnacentral:rRNA from 1 species